GACAGAGGGGGCAAGCGUUGCUCGGAAUCACUGGGCGUAAAGGGUGCGUAGGCGGGUCUUUAAGUCAGGGGUGAAAUCCUGGAGCUCAACUCCAGAACUGCCUUUGAUACUGAGGAUCUUGAGUUCGGGAGAGGUGAGUGGAACUGCGAGUGUAGAGGUGAAAUUCGUAGAUAUUCGCAAGAACACCAGUGGCGAAGGCGGCUCACUGGCCCGAUACUGACGCUGAGGCACGAAAGCGUGGGGAGCAAACAGG
rnacentral:rRNA from 1 species